rnacentral:rRNA from 1 species
AUUAACGCGAAGAACCUUACCAGCUCUUGACAUGUCCGGUAUGGUCGCCAGAGAUGGCUUCCUUCCCGCAAGGGGCCGGAACACAGGUGCUGCAUGGCUGUCGUCAGCUCGUGUCGUGAGAUGUUGGGUUAAGUCCCGCAACGAGCGCAACCCCCGCCCUUAGUUGCCAUCAUUCAGUUGGGCACUCUAGGGGGACUGCCGGUGAUAAGCCGAGAGGAAGGUGGGGAUGACGUCAAGUCCUCAUGGCCCUUACGGGCUGGGCUACACACGUGCUACAAUGGCGGUGACAAUGGGAUGCGGAGGGGUGACCCCGAGCAAAUCUCCAAAAGCCGUCUCAGUUCGGAUUGCACUCUGCAACUCGAGUGCAUGAAGUUGGAAUCGCUAGUAAUCGUAGAUCAGAACGCUACGGUGAAUACGUUCCCGGGUCUUGUACACACCGAAU